AGUGAACGCUGGCGGCAUGCUUUACACAUGCCAGUCGAACGGUAACAGGCCUUCGGGUGCUGACGAGUGGCGAACGGGUGCGUAAUGCAUCGGAACGUGCCCGGAGGUGGGGGAUAACGCAGCGAAAGCUGUGCUAAUACCGCAUGAGAUCUGAGGCUGACAGCGGGGGACCAAGCAGCAAUGUUUGGCCUCGCGCGUCUGGAGCGGCCGAUGUCGGAUUAGGUAGUUGGUGGGGUAAAGGCCUACCAAGCCGACGAUCUGUAGCUGGUCUGAGAGGACGACCAGCCACACUGGGACUGAGACACGGCCCAGACUCCUACGGGAGGCAGCAGUGGGGAAUUUUGGACAAUGGGCGCAAGCCUGAUCCAGCAAUGCCGCGUGCGGGAAGAAGGCCUUCGGGUUGUAAACCGCUUUUGUACGGAACGAAAAGCCUCUGGCUAAUACCUGGGGCUGAUGACGGUACCGUAAGAAUAAGCACCGGCUAACUACGUG
rnacentral:rRNA from 1 species